rnacentral:rRNA from 1 species
CCUACGGGUGGCUGCAGUGGGGAAUAUUGGACAAUGGGGGCAACCCUGAUCCAGCCAUGCCGCGUGUGUGAAGAAGGCCCUCGGGUUGUAAAGCACUUUCAGUGAGGAAGAACGCCUGGUGGUUAAUACCCAUCAGGAAAGACAUCACUCACAGAAGAAGCACCGGCUAACUCCGUGCCAGCAGCCGCGGUAAUACGGAGGGUGCGAGCGUUAAUCGGAAUUACUGGGCGUAAAGCGCGCGUAGGUGGCUUGAUAAGCCGGUUGUGAAAGCCCCGGGCUCAACCUGGGAACGGCAUCCGGAACUGUCAAGCUAGAGUGCAGGAGAGGAGGGUAGAAUUCCCGGUGUAGCGGUGAAAUGCGUAGAGAUCGGGAGGAAUACCAGUGGCGAAGGCGGCCUUCUGGACUGACACUGACACUGAGGUGCGAAAGCGUGGGUAGCAAACAGGAUUAGAUACCCUGGUAGUC